rnacentral:rRNA from 1 species
CUGAAGAGUUUGAUCAUGGCUCAGAUUGAACGCUGGCGGCAGGCUUAACACAUGCAAGUCGAGCGGUAACAGGGGGUGCUUGCACCCCGCUGACGAGCGGCGGACGGGUGAGUAAUGCAUAGGAAACUGCCCAGUAGUGGGGGAUAGCCCGGGGAAACCCGGAUUAAUACCGCGUACGCCCUUCGGGGGAAAGCAGGGGAUCUUCGGACCUUGCGCUAUUGGAUGUGCCUAUGUCGGAUUAGCUAGUUGGUGGGGUAAAGGCCUACCAAGGCGACGAUCCGUAGCUGGUCUGAGAGGAUGAUCAGCCACAUCGGGACUGAGACACGGCCCGAACUCCUACCGGAGGCAGCAG